CAUGCAAGUCGAACGGCAGCGCGGGGCAACCUGGCGGCGAGUGGCGAACGGGUGAGUAAUAUAUCGGAACGUACCCUGGAGUGGGGGAUAACGUAGCGAAAGUUACGCUAAUACCGCAUACGAUCUAAGGAUGAAAGUGGGGGAUGCGCAAGCACCUCAUGCUCCUGGAGCGGCCGAUAUCUGAUUAGCUAGUUGGUGGGGUAAAGGCCUACCAAGGCAUCGAUCAGUAGCUGGUCUGAGAGGACGACCAGCCACACUGGAACUGAGACACGGUCCAGACUCCUACGGGAGGCAGCAGUGGGGAAUUUUGGACAAUGGGCGAAAGCCUGAUCCAGCAAUGCCGCGUGAGUGAAGAAGGCCUUCGGGUUGUAAAGCUCUUUUGUCAGGGAAGAAACGGUGAAGGCUAAUAUCCUUUGCUAAUGACGGUACCUGAAGAAUAAGCACCGGCUAACUACGUGCCAGCAGCCGCGGUAAUACGUAGGGUGCAAGCGUUAAUCGGAAUUACUGGGCGUAAAGCGUGCGCAGGCGGUUUUGUAAGUCUGUCGUGAAAUCCCCGGGCUCAACCUGGGAAUUGCGAUGGAGACUGCAAGGCUAGAAUCUGGCAGAGGGGGUAGAAUUCCACGUGU
rnacentral:rRNA from 1 species